CACGGUAGGAUUGUUAUUUGG
rnacentral:misc_RNA from 1 species